CAUUCUUUCUUUCUAACUACACUAGACUAGAAGACUAAAGAAGAUUACAAGCCGAAGAAAGAGGAGAAGAAACGGGAGUCCGGCUGGCCCGCGUUGCAGCAGGUGUGCGUGUGAUUCGUCAGGUUGAAUGACAAGGGUUGGUGCUGGGCUCAAUGAUGGCCAGUGAAAUUAUAAUUUUACCCUUAUUGCUCCUCAAAUUUUACAAACUCUAUUCAAAAGAAUCUUUCUUUUGAAUGCCCUGUGAGUGUAAAAUAGACUCCACCGUCCCUGUACACGCCUGACAAAGAACAACUUUCCACCGUCCCUGUAUCUCUCCCUCAUCUUCUUCUUCAUUGGCCUUUCUUCCUCUUGAUCAUCCGCAUCUUCCUUCCCCGCCAUUUUUUUCUUUUUUUUUUUUUUUUUAAAUAUUGAUUGAACAAACAAGAUUGCUUCCACCUAUUAUUCUAUGGAUCUUAAUCUUGUUGGGAACUUUCACAUUAAUGUAUGCUUGAACUACUCUACACUUUGCGCGGAUGAAACCAAUAAAAACCAAAUGAAGUUCAAAGGAGUUAGCUGAGCUGCCACUGAGAUGAAAAGGGGAAACAAUUGCUAGGACAGCCUUUAGGUUUUUUGGUUGUACAAGUGCUUGCUUCAUGGUAACUGGUUCUGCUCUUCGUCGGUGAAUAUCUAGAUAGUUUCCCUCAACAAUUGAAGGUUACGAAGCUGGAAUAGAAACUCCCAGGGGGUUGAUACAUGUACAUUUGCUUGUGAAAGUUAAAAAUGACAUAUUGAAUAGUUGUGGCUUAUUGAGGAAAAUCACAAGGAAAUACUAAAGGGAGGAGAAAAAGAUUUAGCUUUUCAGGUUAUUCUUCUAGAAGCUGUGGAUGUUGAAGAAAAGGCAAACAAUUAUCUAAAGGAAGAAAUAGUUGAAAGAGA